rnacentral:rRNA from 1 species
GGAGGAAGCAGGGGAUCGCAAGACCUUGCGCUUUUGGAGCGGCCGAUGCCUGAUUAGCUUGUUGGUGAGGUAAAAGCUCACCAAGGCUUCGAUCAGUAGCUGGUCUGAGAGGACGACCAGCCACACUGGGACUGAGACACGGCCCAGACUCCUACGGGAGGCAGCAGUGGGGAAUUUUGGACAAUGGGGGCAACUCUGAUCCAGCCAUGCCGCGUGAGUGAAGAAGGCCUUCGGGUUGUAAAGCUCUUUCAGCCGGAACGAAACGGUUACGGUUAAUACCCGUGACUACUGACGGUACCGGAAGAAGAAGCACCGGCUAACUACGUGCCAGCAGCCGCGGUAAUACGUAGGGUGCGAGCGUUAAUCGGAAUUACUGGGCGUAAAGCGUGCGCAGGUGGUUUUGUAAGUCAGAUGUGAAAUCCCCGGGCUUAACCUGGGAACUGCGUUUGAAACUACAAAGCUAG